GCUCGUGUAGCUCAGUGGUUAGAGCUUCGUGCUUAUAGGGACACUCGGAUUAUCCGAAGUUAUCUGUACAAAUAUGAUCUUUCAAACCAGAUCAAAUUUUAAAGCAACGCGACCGUCGAGGGUUCAAACCCCUCCUCGAGCA
rfam:Naumovozyma dairenensis CBS 421 chromosome 3, complete genome